rnacentral:rRNA from 1 species
GGUCAAGCGAACAAGUGCAUGUGGUGGAUGCCUUGGCGAUCACAGGCGAUGAAGGACGCGGUAGCCUGCGAAAAGCCCCGGGGAGCUGGCAAACAAGCUUUGAUCCGGGGAUGUCCGAAUGGGGAAACCCACUCCGUAUGGAGUAUCCAUGACUGAAUACAUAGGUCAUGUGAAGCGAACGCGGUGAACUGAAACAUCUAAGUAACCGCAGGAAAAGAAAUCAACCGAGAUUCCCAAAGUAGUGGCGAGCGAAAUGGGAUGAGCCUUGUACUCUUUAUUCGUAUUGUUAGCCGAACGCUCUGGAAAGUGCGGCCAUAGCAGGUGAUAGCCCUGUAGGCGAAAACAGUAUGAAAGAACUAGGUGUACGACAAGUAGGGCGGGACACGUGAAAUCCUGUCUGAAGAUGGGGGGACCAUCCUCCAAGGCUAAAUACUCGUGAUCGACCGAUAGUGAACCAGUACCGUGAGGGAAAGGCGAAAAGAACCCCGGGAGGGGAGUGAAAUAGAUCCUGAAACCGCAUGCAUACAAACAGUCGGAGCCUCGUAAGGGGUGACGGCGUACCUUUUGUAUAAUGGGUCAGCGACUUACGUUCAGUAGCAAGCUUAACCGUAUAGGGCAGGCGUAGCGAAAGCGAGUCCGAAUAGGGCGUUCAGUUGCUGGGCGUAGACCCGAAACCAGGUGAUCUAUCCAUGGCCAGGAUGAAGGUGCGGUAACACGUACUGGAGGUCCGAACCCACUAACGUUGAAAAGUUAGGGGAUGAGCUGUGGAUAGGGGUGAAAGGCUAAACAAACCUGGAAAUAGCUGGUUCUCUCCGAAAACUAUUUAGGUAGUGCCUCGUGUCUCACCUUCGGGGGUAGAGCACUGUCAUGGUUGGGGGGUCUAUUGCAGAUUACCCCGCCAUAGCAAACUCCGAAUACCGAAGAGUGCAAUCACGGGAGACAGACAUCGGGUGCUAACGUCCGGUGUCAAGAGGGAAACAACCCAGACCGCCAGCUAAGGUCCCCAAAUAUGGCUAAGUGGGAAACGAAGUGGGAAGGCUAAAACAGUCAGGAGGUUGGCUUAGAAGCAGCCACCCUUUAAAGAAAGCGUAAUAGCUCACUGAUCGAGUCGUCCUGCGCGGAAGAUGUAACGGGGCUAAGCCAUAUACCGAAGCUGCGGAUGCGAGCUUGCUCGCAUGGUAGGAGAGCGUUCCGUAAGCCUGCGAAGGUGUCUUGUAAAGGAUGCUGGAGGUAUCGGAAGUGCGAAUGCUGACAUGAGUAGCGAUAAAGGGGGUGAAAGGCCCCCUCGCCGUAAGCCCAAGGUUUCCUACGCAACGUUCAUCGGCGUAGGGUGAGUCGGCCCCUAAGGCGAGGCAGAAAUGCGUAGCUGAUGGGAAGCAGGUCAAUAUUCCUGCACCGUCGUUAGAUGCGAUGGGGGGACGGAUCGCGGAAGGUUGUCCGGGUGUUGGACGUCCCGGUCGCUGCAUUGGAGAAGGCGCUUAGGCAAAUCCGGGCGCAGGAUUCAAGGGUGUGGCGCGAGCGACUUCGGUCGCGAAGCAAUUGGAAGUGGUUCCAAGAAAAGCCUCUAAGCUUCAGUCUAACGAUGACCGUACCGCAAACCGACACAGGUGGGCGAGAUGAGUAUUCUAAGGCGCUUGAGAGAACUCGGGAGAAGGAACUCGGCAAAUUGGUACCGUAACUUCGGGAUAAGGUACGCCCUUGUAGCUUGACCAGCCUGCGCUGGAAGGGUGAAGGGGUUGCAAUAAACUGGUGGCUGCGACUGUUUAAUAAAAACACAGCACUCUGCAAACACGAAAGUGGACGUAUAGGGUGUGACGCCUGCCCGGUGCCGGAAGAUUAAAUGAUGGGGUGCAAGCUCUUGAUUGAAGUCCCGGUAAACGGCGGCCGUAACUAUAACGGUCCUAAGGUAGCGAAAUUCCUUGUCGGGUAAGUUCCGACCUGCACGAAUGGCGUAACGAUGGCCACACUGUCUCCUCCCGAGACUCAGCGAAGUUGAAGUGUUUGUGAUGAUGCAAUCUACCCGCGGCUAGACGGAAAGACCCCAUGAACCUUUACUGUAGCUUUGCAUUGGACUUUGAACCGAUCUGUGUAGGAUAGGUGGGAGGCUAUGAAACCGGAACGCUAGUUUCGGUGGAGCCGUCCUUGAAAUACCACCCUGGUUUGUUUGAGGUUCUAACCUUGGUCCGUGAUCCGGAUCGGGGACAGUGCAUGGUAGGCAGUUUGACUGGGGCGGUCUCCUCCCAAAGGGUAACGGAGGAGUACGAAGGUACGCUAGGUACGGUCGGAAAUCGUGCUGAUAGUGCAAUGGCAUAAGCGUGCUUAACUGCGAGACCGACAAGUCGAGCAGGUGCGAAAGCAGGUCAUAGUGAUCCGGUGGUUCUGUAUGGAAGGGCCAUCGCUCAACGGAUAAAAGGUACUCUGGGGAUAACAGGCUGAUACCGCCCAAGAGUUCAUAUCGACGGCGGUGUUUGGCACCUCGAUGUCGGCUCAUCUCAUCCUGGGGCUGUAGCCGGUCCCAAGGGUAUGGCUGUUCGCCAUUUAAAGAGGUACGUGAGCUGGGUUUAAAACGUCGUGAGACAGUUUGGUCCCUAUCUGCCGUGGGCGUUGGAUAUUUGAAGGGGGCUGCUCCUAGUACGAGAGGACCGGAGUGGACGAACCUCUGGUGUACCGGUUGUGACGCCAGUCGCAUCGCCGGGUAGCUAUGUUCGGAAGAGAUAACCGCUGAAAGCAUCUAAGCGGGAAACUCGCCUUAAGAUGAGAUAUCCCUGGAGGCUUGACCUCCUUGAAGGGUCGUUCGAGACCAGGACGUUGAUAGGUCGGGUGUGUAAGCGCAGUAAUGCGUUCAGCUAACCGAUACUAAUUGCCCGUAAGGCUUGA